rnacentral:rRNA from 1 species
GGAUAGCCCGGAGAAAUCCGGAUUAAUACCGCAUAAUCUCUACGGAGGAAAAGGGGCCUCUCCUUGGAAGCUCUUGCUAUUAGAUGAGCCCGCGUUAGAUUAGCUAGUUGGUGAGGUAAUGGCUCACCAAGGCAACGAUCUAUAGCUGGUUUGAGAGGAUGAUCAGCCACACUGAGACUGAGACACGGCCCAGACUCCUACGGGAGGCAGCAGUGGGGAAUAUUGGACAAUGGGCGCAAGCCUGAUCCAGCAAUACUGCGUGUGUGAAGAAGGCCUUCGGGUUGUAAAGCUCUUUCGCAAGAGAAGAAACGGUAUAGGUUAAUAGCCUAUGCUAAUGACGGUAUCUUGACAAGAAGCACCGGCUAACUACGUGCCAGCAGCCGCGGUAAUACGUAGGGUGCAAGCGUUAAUCGGAAUUACUGGGCGUAAAGCGCGCGUAGGCGGUUUGUUAAGUCGGAUGUGAAAGCCCUGGGCUCAACCUGGGAACUGCAUUCGAUACUGAUCGACUAGAGUACGAGAGAGGGAGGUAGAAUUCCACGUGUAGCGGUGAAAUGCGUAGAUAUGUGGAGGAAUACCGGUGGCGAAGGCGGCCUCCUGGCUCGAUACUGACGCUGAGGUGCGAAAGCGUGGGUAGCAAACAGGAUUAGAUACUCUGGUAGUCCACGCAGUAAACGGUGAACACUAGGUGUAGCGGGUAUUGACCCCUGCUGUGCCGCAGCUAACGCAUUAAGUGUUCCGCCUGGGGAGUACGGUCGCAAGAUUAAAACUCAA